rnacentral:rRNA from 1 species
UACGGGGGGUGCGAGCGUUGUCCGGAAUCACUGGGCGUAAAGGGCGCGUAGGUGGUUUGAUAAGGGUGUGGUGAAAGCCCGGGGCUCAACCCCGGGUCUGCCGUGCCGACUGUCAAACUCGAGGGCUGUAGAGGCAGACGGAAUUCCGGGUGUAGCGGUGGAAUGCGUAGAGAUCCGGAGGAAGACCGGUGGCGAAGGCGGUCUGCUGGGCAGUUUCUGACACUGAGGCGCGAAAGCUGGGGGAGCAAACAGG